rnacentral:miRNA from 1 species
ACAAGCCUGACCUCUGCCCCCA